AAAAAAAAAGAUCAUUUGAGUUGGAUGAUCGGGAAUUUUACUCAAAGCAUCAUACCGCUGAUCGUCGGUUAAACCUUCAAUUGACCAUAAGGCUGAAUAUAAAUUUGAAGCUUUCUCUUCCAUCUUUUGAUGUUCUUCUGACCUCUGCUGAACUACCACCUCGGAGGCAAUACUCCUACUGAUUUGAUCGCCAACGGCUUGGAUUUUUUCCCCCAACAAAGUGGCAGCCUCAUCAAAUGAAGAAUACACAUUAUCACGAGCAUCAGAUUUCUUCUUUCUCUUGUUUGAAGAUGAGGAACCCCCUUGGUCUCUAUCUCCUCGCGGAUCUGUACCAGAAACAUCCAUGUCGUCUAAAGAGACGUCGGCUUCGCAGU
rnacentral:lncRNA from 1 species